AGUUAAGAUAAUAAGGGCAAUCGGUGGAUGCCUAGGUGCCAAGAGGCGAUGAAGGACGUGGUAGGCUGCGAUAAGCUUCGGGGAGCCGCCUAACAGGCUAUGAACCGGAGGUUUCCGAAUGGGGCAACCCGGCUGGAGUCAUGUCCAGUCAUCCUUUUGCUGAAUCUAUAGGCAAAAGGAAGCGAACCCGGGGAACUGAAACAUCUAAGUACCCGGAGGAGAAGAAAUCAAAAGAGAUUCCCUCAGUAGCGGCGAGCGAACGGGGAAGAGCCUAAACCGGCCAGUUUCGAUUGGUCGGGGUUGUAGGGCCUCCAAUAAACGAUCCGUUAGUAGAUAGCAGAACAAGCUGGGAAGCUUGACCGUAGAAGGUGAAAGUCCUGUACGUAAAAUCGAACGCGGCGUAGGAGGUUCCUGAGUACCGCGAGGCACGUGAAACCUCGUGGGAAUCCAGGUGGACCAUCAUCUAAGGCUAAAUACUCCUUGGCGACCGAUAGCGAACCAGUACCGUGAGGGAAAGGUGAAAAGGACCCCUGUUAGGGGAGUGAAAUAGAACCUGAAACCGAUUGCCUACAAGCUGUGGGAGCACCAAUAGGUGUGACCGCGUGCCUUUUGCAUAAUGGGCCAGCGAGUUACGAUUUAGUGCAAGGUUAAGCCGGAAGGCGGAGCCGCAGCGAAAGCGAGUCUGAAUAGGGCGUGCAGUACUGAGUCGUAGACCCGAAACCGGGUGAUCUAUCCAUGGGCAGGGUGAAGCUCGGGUAAAACCGAGUGGAGGCCCGAACCGUUGUCAGUUGAAAAUGACUCGGAUGACCUGUGGAUAGGGGUGAAAGGCCAAUCAAACCCGGAGAUAGCUGGUUCUCCCCGAAAUAUAUUGAGGUAUAGCCUCGGGUGUAGACGAACGGAGGUAGAGCACUGAAAGGGCUAGGGGCCCCACCAGGUUACCAAACCCUAUCAAACUCCGAAUGCCGUUCGUUUUGCCCGGGAGUCAGACUGCGGGUGAGAAGGUCCGUAGUCGAGAGGGAAACAGCCCAGACCGCCGGCUAAGGUCCCGAAAUCCAUGCUCAGUGGGAAAGGAAGUGGAUCGACUGAGACAUCCAGGAGGUUGGCUUAGAAGCAGCCAUCCUUUAAAGAAAGCGUAACAGCUCACUGGCCUAGUUGAUCUGCGCCGAAAAUGUACCGGGGCUAAGCAUGGUACCGAAGCCGCGGAUGUUGGUUCUUCCAACAUGGUAGGGGAGCGUUCUCUAACGGGAUGAAGGCAUAUCGGAAGGUAUGCUGGACUACAGAGAAGUGAAGAUGCUGGCAUGAGUAACGAUAAAACAGGUGAGAAACCUGUUCGCCGUAAGCCCAAGGUUUCCAGGGUAAAGUUAAUCUGCCCUGGGUGAGCCGGCCCCUAAGGCGAGGCCGAAAGGCGUAGCCGAUGGGAAGCAGGUUAAUAUUCCUGCGCCUGUGUCAUGUCGUUUGAGUGAUGGGGGGACGCAGAAGGGUAGACCAUCCAGGUGUUGGACAUCCUGGUGCAAGCCAGUAGGCUGUGGUUCUAGGCAAAUCCGGAACCAUAAGGCCGAGAGGUGAUGCCGAGACAUUAUGUCGGAAGUGGUUGAUCCCAGACUGCCGAGAAAAGCCUCUAAGCGAGAUAUGAUACAGACCGUACCGCAAACCAACACAGGUGGGCGGGUCGAGCAGACCAAGGCGCUCGAGAGAACUCUGGUUAAGGAACUCGGCAAAAUGACCCCGUAACUUUGGGAUAAGGGGUGCCCUUUGAGGUGAACAUCUUGCAUGGUAAGCCUUGGAGGGUCGCAGAGAAUCGGUGGGGGCGACUGUUUACUAAAAACACAGGUCUCUGCAAAGUCGCAAGACGACGUAUAGGGACUGACGCCUGCCCGGUGCCGGAAGGUUAAGGGGACUUGUUAUCCUUCGGGAGAAGCACGAAACCGAAGCCCCGGUAAACGGCGGCCGUAACUAUAACGGUCCUAAGGUAGCGAAAUUCCUUGUCGGGUAAGUUCCGACCUGCACGAAAGGCGUAACGAUCCCCACACUGUCUCAACCAGAGACUCGGUGAAAUUGAAGUCCCGGUGAAGAUGCCGGGUACCCACAGAAGGACGGAAAGACCCUGUGCACCUUUACUACAGCCUGACAUUGGAUUUUGGGCUAGCAUGUGUAGGAUAGGUGGGAGACUAUGAAUCGGGAGCGCUAGCUCUCGAGGAGUCGCCCUUGAAAUACCACCCUUGUUAGUCUAGAGUUCUAAUCCUGACCCGUAAGCCGGGCAGGAAACAGUGUCUGGUGGGUAGUUUGACUGGGGCGGUCGCCUCCCAAAAAGUAACGGAGGCGCACAAAGGUUCCCUCAGGCUGAUUGGAAACCAGCCGUUGAGUGCAAAGGCAUAAGGGAGCCUGACUGCGAGACAGACAUGUCGAGCAGAGACGAAAGUCGGUCUUAGUGAUCCGGUGGUCCCGUAUGGAAGGGCCAUCGCUCAUCGGAUAAAAGGUACGCCGGGGAUAACAGGCUGAUCGCGCCCAAGAGUUCACAUCGACGGCGCGGUUUGGCACCUCGAUGUCGGCUCAUCACAUCCUGGGGCUGGAGCAGGUCCCAAGGGUACGGCUGUUCGCCGUUUAAAGUGGUACGCGAGCUGGGUUUAAAACGUCGUGAGACAGUUUGGUCCCUAUCCUCUGUGGGCGUAGGAGACUUGAGAGGAGUUGCCCCUAGUACGAGAGGACCGGGGUGAACGAUCCUCUAGUGGACCUGUUGUCGCGCCAGCGGCAUAGCAGGGUAGCUAUGAUCGGACAGGAUAACCGCUGAAGGCAUCUAAGCGGGAAGCCCCCCUCAAGAUAAGGUCUCCCUUGUCUUCGGACACUAAAGGUCCCUGGAAGACUACCAGGUAGAUAGGCUGGAAGUGUAAGCGCAGCAAUGUGUUCAGCUAACCAGUACUAAUAGACCGUGCGUCUUAACUCU
rfam:Desulfohalobium retbaense DSM 5692, complete genome.